GAAUGUGAGGGUGAUCUGUAUGUGACAUCUGUCACCUCAUUGAUCACCAGGAUUGAUUCACCCAAUCUAGGUAGGUGUCCCCUACCUCCCUUACCAUUCCAUGUGUGUCCCUCCCAAAGCUAUGCAUUUGGUCAAAGAGGACAAAUACCCCUGAUAGAGGAGGACCAUUCCCCUGCUAG
rnacentral:snRNA from 1 species